AUUUUCUUCUUCGCUUCUCAGUUCGUUUUUUUUUUUUUUUUUAGUUCAGGUAAGGUUUUUUUAUUAUUAUU
rnacentral:sRNA from 1 species